GUCACCGACGGUUUUCGAGUAAUGCAAACCCGGGAGUUCAAAGUAGGUCGAGAUUAAAGGCUAAACUGAAGUUUAAAUAUAUAGCCACAUUGAGAAAUGAAAUGAAAAGAAAAGAAGCGUAGUCCUAAUUAGGCAACUUCAUCGAAAGACCGCCAUGUGAAAAUUGGAGGUCGUGACCGUCUCAUCCGGCUUCCGGUGAGUUGUGCUUCCCAAAUAUUUCAACUGACACAAAAACUCGGUUUCAAGAUUGACAGCAAAAUUGUUGGUUGCCUCUUCCACAAUGCCUAGUUGGCCAUAGAAAUUAAAAUGAUAGCUUUCUCGACAUUUUAGAAGAGGGUCUUACUGUUAGUUUUGAAGUCAAGUUUUUUUUUGUCGACUAAAAUAAUUGAAAGC